GUGUCAGCAGCCGCGGUAAUACGUAGGGUGCAGGCGUUAAUCGGAAUUACUGGGCGUAAAGCGUGCGCAGGCGGUCUAUUAAGACAGGUGUGAAAUCCCCGGGCUUAACCUGGGAACUGCGCUUGUAACUGAUAGGCUUGAGUGUGGCAGAGGGGGGUGGAAUUCCACGUGUAGCAGUGAAAUGCGUAGAGAUGUGGAGGAACACCGAUGGCGAAGGCAGCCCCCUGGGCUAACACUGACGCUCAUGCACGAAAGCGUGGGGAGCAAACAGGAUUAGAAACCCCCGUAGUCC
rnacentral:rRNA from 1 species